CUGGCUCAGGAUGAACGCUAGCGGCAGGCCUAAUACAUGCAAGUCGAACGGAUGACCUUCGGGUCAUUAGUGGCGCACGGGUGCGUAACGCGUAAGCAACCUACCUGCUACUGGGGGAUAGCCCUGGGAAACCGGGAGUAAACCCGCAUGGUAUCAUUAACCUACCUGGGUUGAUGAUUAAAGAUUUAUCGGUAGCAGAUGGGCUUGCGUUGGAUUAGCUAGAUGGCGGGGUAAUGGCCCACCAUGGCGAUGAUCCAUAGGGGCUCUGAGAGGAGCGGCCCC
rnacentral:rRNA from 1 species